GGUUUGGGGGGUGGGUAGGGUUAGCGUAUGGGUUUUUAGCUCUGUGGCUCAGAAGAUCUUUAUUUAGCCUUCAAAAGUGUUAACUCCUGGGAAUCCUGGUUAAAACAUUGGCAUUUGAAGGUCAUGUCAGUGCACUGAUCCUGGCUUGAAGCUUUUUUGUGCCCUUGAAUGGAGUGAGGACUUAGUGACUGGAACCAUUUGGCAACACCACAAAUGACCAAGAAGAAGGACUUUAAGAAGACUGCAUUAGGACAACGUGACUGCAGAGAGGCCACCCACAGCUCUAAAUGUGCCUACCGAGAGGAAAAAUAAAUGGCUGAGCUCCUGGCCAGACGCAUAUGCGCGAAGCAUAUCCAUGAGGAGGAGCUGUUUGGAAAAAAACAUUCCGAUCCUGCAGAGACAUUGCCGUUGAACUGGGCUGGGG